UACAAAGAUGGACUCCACCCUA
rnacentral:miRNA from 1 species